CGGGGCUUAAUGUCUUGUAAUUGGAAUGAUGGGAAUUUAAACCUCUUCCAGAGUAUCAAUUGGAGGGCAAGUCUGGUGCCAGCAGCCGCGGUAAUUCCAGCUCCAAUAGCGUAUAUUAAAAUUGUUGCAGUUAAAAAGCUCGUAGUUGAAUUUCUGCUGCAUUUCAUUUCUCUUUCUGAGUUUGUUUUUGCGGCUUAUUUCGGUUUGAUUUUUUCUUUCCGGAUGAUUACUUUGAGAAAAUUAGAGUGCUCAAAGCAGGCUUUUGCCUUGAAUAGUUUAGCAUGGAAUAAUAAAGUAGGACUUUGGUUCUAUUUUGUUGGUUUUAGGACCGUCGUAAUGAUUAAUAGGGAUGGUCGGGGGCAUCAGUAUUCAGUAGUAAGAGGUGAAAUUCUUUGAUUUACUGAAGACUAACUGCUGCGAAAGCGUUUGCCAAGGACAUCUUCAUUAAUCAAGAAC
rnacentral:rRNA from 1 species